UUCUGGUUCGAGUCCAGGAUGGCCCACUGGGAUGGGGGUAUAGCUCAGUUGGUAGAGCGCCUGCUUUGCAAGCAGGAUGUCAGCGGUUCGAGUCCGCUUACCUCCACCAAGAAGAGAGAAUAGAAGACAGCAAGAUAGCGAGUACCGAGAGGUAGUAGUUAUAUUGCUGUGUUCUAGGAACACAGCGAGAACCUUGACAACUGCA
rnacentral:tRNA from 1 species